GCCAGUAGAGGAUGGAUUAAAAACUCUAAUCAUAUAUGUGCUAUGGUUGCUACCUAUAAAGGAUUAAAAACUCUUUGAUUUUAUAGGGCUAAGGCCAAGGUAGAGGAUAGAUUAAAAACUCUAAUCAUAUAUGUGCUAUGGUUGCUAUGGACAGCCACUAAUGAUAAGAGUUUUUCAGCAAAAGGUGUAUCUACCAUGGCCUCACCUACUAUUGAAACCAAUUAGCAAUUCAUCUUUACCAAUCUAUUGAGGCACUGGGGUAGUUCUCUGCAUUCCUCUUUAAAUCACCUUGAUAGAACCUUGGUGUCGUUGUUCCCUCCCUCCUUACGAAUGGUAAAGAUAAAGUCUGAUGCUUUGAUCAUCUUGGAUAAGGAGGCUGCUGGAUUCAUAACAAAAGACCACUAUGAUAGACUAUUAAGAGCUGGAGGAAAAUGUUUUCAUCCCUCUUCAAUCCCCCAUG
rnacentral:lncRNA from 1 species